UUUUGUUAUUGUAAUAUGUCGUUUGUUUUUAUUUUAGUUUUAUGUCGUUGUAACGUAAUUUCCAUUUGUAGGACGUAUUAUGUAAUAUGAGUACUUUUAUUACUAAAUAUUGUACUAUUAUUUAAUUUGUUAUAUUAUAAUAUUAAAUACUAGUAUUACAAUUCACACUCAAUAAAAUAACUAAUACUCAAUAAAUUAUUAUUUAACCCAUGCCAUUAAUUAGCCCAUCUCGUAAUUAACUAUAUUAAUACUACUAAACCUAAUUUUCUCUCAUCGCCGCUACCUUCUUCCAUCUUCCCCUCCUCUGUAAUUUCCCCUUCUCUCUCCCAUCGCCGCUACUUUUCAAUCUUUCCCUUCUUCCUUCUCUGUACAUUCGAUUUCAUCUCCACAUUCUUCACAAGUUCUUCAACCAUCUACAACUCUCUAUAAUUAGGUAAGUAGUUUCUUCAUCUAAUUCUUCUUCUCCAAUUUUCUGUUUCUGCAUCUCUCGGCCCUCGGCCUUCUUCAAAUAUCAUAAAAAAGAAAGGAGUCAAUGGCAAUUUCUGUGGCUUUGGAGAUGCCCUUAGUUAGGAACCUGGAAAAGGGAUGGGAACAGAGAAAAUGGUUGAAGACAUAUUUAAAUGGAAAUGUGACAGAGUCACCAAUUUUGUGGACUACUAUUGCAAUCGAAAACACAAAAAUAACCUCAUCUAUUUCUCGUCGUUCACGGUCUCACCCAUGACCCACAUAAAAUUGUAUCAUCUCAUAUUAUCUAAUGUAAAUGUACACUAUAUUAAUCCAACUCGUAUUUAUUUUGCAUAA